ensembl:snoRNA
AUCUUGUCAAUGAUGUUUUCAAAACAAAUGUCUGAACAUAUGAAUUUCAGUGAUUCUUACUUGUUGGCUGAGACAUGAU